ACGAACGCUGGCGGCGUGCUUAACACAUGCCAGUCGAACGGAAAGGCCCUGCUUUUGUGGGGUGCUCGAGUGGCGAACGGGUGAGUAACACGUGAGUAACCUGCCCUUGACUUUGGGAUAACUUCAGGAAACUGGGGCUAAUACCGGAUAGGAGCUCCUGCUGCAUGGUGGGGGUUGGAAAGUUUCGGCGGUUGGGGAUGGACUCGCGGCUUAUCAGCUUGUUGGUGGGGUAGUGGCUUACCAAGGCUUUGACGGGUAGCCGGCCUGAGAGGGUGACCGGCCACAUUGGGACUGAGAUACGGCCCAGACUUCUACGGGAGGCAGCAGUGGGGAAUAUUGCACAAUGGGCGGAAGCCUGAUGCAGCAACGCCGCGUGCGGGAUGACGGCCUUCGGGUUGUAAACCGCUUUCGCCUGUGACGAAGCGUGAGUGACGGUAAUGGGUAAAGAAGCACCGGCUAACUACGUG
rnacentral:rRNA from 1 species